rnacentral:rRNA from 1 species
CCUACGGGGGGCAGCAGUGGGGAAUAUUGGACAAUGGGGGCAACCCUGAUCCAGCCAUGCCGCGUGUGUGAAGAAGGCCCUCGGGUUGUAAAGCACUUUCAGUGAGGAAGAACGCCUGGUGGUUAAUACCCAUCAGGAAAGACAUCACUCACAGAAGAAGCACCGGCUAACUCCGUGCCAGCAGCCGCGGUAAUACGGAGGGUGCGAGCGUUAAUCGGAAUUACUGGGCGUAAAGCGCGCGUAGGUGGCUUGAUAAGCCGGUUGUGAAAGCCCCGGGCUCAACCUGGGAACGGCAUCCGGAACUGUCAAGCUAGAGUGCAGAAGAGGAAGGUAGAAUUCCCGGUGUAGCGGUGAAAUGCGUAGAGAUAGGGAGGAAUACCAGUGGCGAAGGCGGCCUUCUGGACUGAAACUGACACUGAGGUGCGAAAGCGUGGGUAGCAAACAGGAUUAGAUACCCGAGUAGUC